UACAGAGGUCUCAAGCGUUGUUCGGAAUCACUGGGCGUAAAGGGUGCGUAGGCGGCGCGGAAAGUCAGAUGUGAAAUCCGGAGGCUCAACCUCCGAAUUGCAUCCGAUACUCCCGCGCUAGAGAUUUGUAGGGGAGCUUGGAAUUCUCGGUGUAGCAGUGAAAUGCGUAGAUAUCGAGAAGAACGCUCGCAGCGAAGGCGAAGCUCUGGGCAACAUCUGACGCUGAUGCACGAAGGCUAGGGGAGCAAACGGG
rnacentral:rRNA from 1 species